GGUGAAGAACGCAGCGAAAUGCGAUACGUAAUGUGAAUUGCAGAAUUCAGUGAAUCAUCGAAUCUUUGAACGCAUAUUGCGCUCUCUGGUAUUCCGGAGAGCAUGCUUGUUUGAGUAUCAGUAAACACCUCAACUUCCAUAUCUUUUUUGAAAUGGGAGUUGGACUUGAGUGAUCCCAACGCUUUUCCUCACCGAAAAGUGGCGGGUUACUUGAAAUGCAGGUGCAGCUGGACUUUUCUCUGAGCUAUAAGCAUAUCUAUUUAGUCUGCCUAAAAAACAGAUUAUUACCUUUGCUGCAGCUAACAUAAAGGAGAUUAGUUCUUGUGCUGACUGAUGCAGGAUUCACAAAGACAGGCUUCGGCCGACUUUGUAAACUCGAUCUCAAAUCAAGUAAGACUACCCGCUGAACUUAAGCAUAUCAAUAAGCGGAGGA
rnacentral:misc_RNA from 1 species